UUUUUUAUAAAAAUAAUUUAUUUAUUUAAAGUUUUAGUAUUUAUUAAAAAUUAAUUUAUAGAUUUAUAGUUUAAUAGUAUUGUGAAAGAAUUAAUUAAAUUUUAAAAAGAACUAUAUUAGUACCUUUUGUAUCAGGGUUGAUUAAAAUUUUUAAUUUUUUUUUAAAUUCUCAAAAUUUAUAGAGUUAAUUUUAUUAUUAAUUUAUUGUGUUAUAAAUAUUUAUAAAAUAAUAUUAGUUUUGAAAUUUAAUUCGUUAUAUUAUAUUUAGUUGUUUAAGAUUUAAAUUUAAUUUAAAAUUUUAAAAGUUAUUUUGAUUUUGUUGAUUAAUAUUUUAAAUUUAAAUUAUUUUAGGGAUAAGCUUGAAAUUUUUAUAUAAUAAUUUAUUUAUUUAAUAAUUUAUAGGAAUAGAAAUUUUUAUUUAAGUUUGUAAAAAUUUAUUAUUUAUUUAUUUUUAAUUUAUUAUAAAUUAUUUAUUAUUAAUAUUAAAUUUUAUUAAUUAAUAUUUAAUUAAUAGUAAUAAUGAUUAAAUUAGUAUAAUUUAAAUUUAUAAAUUAUGAAUUCGGCAAAAAUUAUUUUCAUCUGUUUAACAAAAACAUUGUAUUAAGUUUAAUUUAAUAUAGGAUCUGCUCAAUGAUUUAUUAAAUAGCUGCAGUAUUUUGACUGUGCAAAGGUAGCAUAAUAAUUAGUCUUUUAAUUGAGGACUUGUAUGAAAGAUUUGAUGAGAAAUAAACUUUAUUAUUUAUAUAAUUAAAAUUUUAUUUUUAAGUAAAAAAGCUUAAAUUAUUUAAAGGGACGAUAAGACCCUAUAAAACUUUAUAAAUUUUAAUUUUAAUUUUUUUGGAUUUAUAAAUAUAUUAUUUUUAAAAUUUAUUUUAUUGGGGUGAUAAAAAAAAUUAAUAAACUUUUUUUAAAAUUAAACAUUAUUUAGUGAAUUUUUGAAUUCAAAUUUUUAAUUAAAGGAAAAAGUUACUUUAGGGAUAACAGCGUAAUUAAUUUUUUAAGUUCAAAUUUAAAAAUUAGUUUGCGACCUCGAUGUUGAAUUAAGAUUAAUCUCAGGUGCAAAAUUUUAAGUAUUAGGUCUGUUCGACCUUUAAA
rnacentral:rRNA from 1 species